rnacentral:lncRNA from 1 species
UCUUAUCAACUCUUUAUGGCAUUUGACUGUUUACACAAUCUGAAUGGAUUUACCCUCCCCCAAUGUUCACUUCGUUUGUAUUGUAGAAAGAAUCAUUGGUUAAGAUUGUAUAUUUUUGUGUUUUCUUCAAUUCUCUGGUAUUCUUUAAGUUUUCAUGCAUGAUGCCAAAGAUUAGUUGUGUUAAUAAUGGUGUUUCUGUUGAAAGAUAAUUCUGUUAUUCCUCAUUGCAACAUUGAAACUGCAAAACUCUUGUUCUGAUUUUCAUAUUUAAUCUAAGCAAUCAGUCCAAGCAGAUGAUAGAACUUAUUUGACAGAUCACAAUGGAUCCAGUUUAAAACUUAAAAAUUAACUUUGAGAUGAUUAUUUUUUGGUUGUUUGAACUUCCAUCCAAUAUUUUUUAUCCUUGUUAUAAAAUGCCAUUGGAAAUAGGAUGGACUGUUUCCAUCCUUGUUGUAAUUCCUAGCACCUGUAAACCUAGUAAAAAAAAAAAAAAAUUAUGAUAAUGUAAGAGAGGAAAAGUUAGGAAAGCUGACUUCACUCCUCUUCUCCCCACAUUCACCACCUACUUUUCUUGGCAAUGAAAUGAAAUAUUUGCAGUUUCUGAGUAAAAACUUUUUGGAACAAAAUAUUUUGAACUUGGUUUAUUGAUCUCUUUCCAGUCCUCAAAGAGAAUAGAGGGUUUGUGUCCUUUGCCUUAUCCCUUGCUUUAGUUCAUAGCUUGCUGACUUCUAUGAUACCACUGCUGCUGCUUGUUUGCUAGUGUGGUUGUCUCCCUAUGGUCACUGUACCCAUUUUUGGAGUCCAUAAUAGUGCAUUCUUGAUAGUUGAAUUUUUCUCACUAGUGCUUAAUCAGGCAUGCCAUGGUGUCCCUAAAGGCAUUCUUUUGCAUCAAGUGUGCUUCAAUUUGAUACACAGCCCUGAGAGCUAGCUCACAUCAUAUUGAUCAGUUAUGGCCUAUUUCGUUCCUUUCUUGGUUUUUAUUUAGGAUACUUGCCAGUGUCAUUGCUGUUGAUUUGUGCACAAACUUUCAGGUCCAAAGCAAACACUCGAUGUCUUUCAUAUUCAAAGAGUCUUUAGUCUUAAUGUAACAACGAUAUUCUAAUAGCUCCUUUAUGUUGAUAAUACAUGCACUUGAAACUUUUCUUUGUAGGAAUUUGCUCCAGGAACAGUGGAAGGAUGUGUUUACAAGGGUCAUCCAAGUCAGCAGUUGCUGCAAGCGAAGAUUUAAUUUCAGUUCAGUUUUACAAGGACUCUGCCAAUGAAAGUGAAGGACCUGGCUCUGGCUCUGGUUCUCCAAAGUGCGUAUUCCUGAUAUCGCUUGUUGCAUUACUUUUUAUUGCAUAGGUGAAUGCUACUGUGGUAGACCAAUUUUUUCGGGCUUCUGAUUAUAAGAUUGCUCUCUCAUUCAUUUUUUAAUCCAAUGUUUUAUGCAUACACAGUUUGGUAGAAGGACAAGUUUCAGGUUCAGGCUCAUUUAAGAAGUAAAGUUGCAGAAUUUUCUGUUUCCUCCAGUAAACUUUGCUAUUUGUGCUGCAUAGAACCUAAGUUAAGACUCGAAUAACUUAUUCAUUUUGUAAACUGAAGCUGAGACACCACCUGAACUACUCUGAGUUUUGUAUAUAUGUGGACAGACACUGAGUUAGGAGACAGUUUUGUAAAGGACAGGUUUGUACAAUGAGUAACUCGCAGGUUUAUUUGCUGUUGCAUUUUAUUUAAAAUUUGGAUGAAGAUAUUGACGCUUCCAUUAAUUAUAUAUUAUAUAUAACCUAAUGAUAUUUUAACGCCCUGGUCCCUUCUCUCCAACUCCAUUUUUCGGUUUUUCCUCAGGACCAUCUUCUUUUGCUUUAAAAAGUUAGGAAAGCUGACUUCACUCCUCUUCUCCCCACAUUCACCACCUACUUUUCUUGGCAAUGAAAUGAAAUAUUUGCAGUUUCUGAGUAAAAACUUUUUGGAACAAAAUAUUUUGAACU